rnacentral:rRNA from 1 species
UACGGAGGAUGCGAGCGUUAUUCGGAUUUACUGGGUGUAAAGGGAGCGUAGACGGUGAGACAAGUCUGAAGUGAAAGCCCGGGGCUCAACCCCGGGACUGCAUUUGGAACUGUGUGGCUGGAGUGUCGGAGAGGCAGGCGGAAUUCCUAGUGUAGCGGUGAAAUGCGUAGAUAUUAGGAGGAACACCAGUGGCGAAGGCGGCCUGCUGGACGAUGACUGACGUUGAGGCUCGAAAGCGUGGGGAGCAAACAGG